GUACGCUGGCGGCACGCCUUAUACAUGCAAGUCGAACGAAGUAGCAAUACUUAGUGGCAGACGGGUGAGUAACAUGUAGGUAUCUUCCCUUUGGUGAGGAAUAACACGAGGAAACUUGUGCUAAUACCUCAUAAGUCUUUACAGAGAAAGCUUUAUGCGCCGAAGGAUGAGCCUGCACUUGAUUAGUUUGUUGGUGGGGUAAUGGCCUACCAAGACUUUGAUCUAUAGCUGAUCUGAGAGGAUGAUCAGCCACAUUGGGACUGAGACACGGCCCAAACUCCUACGGGAGGCAGCAGUAGGGAAUAUUGCACAAUGGAGGAAACUCUGAUGCAGCGAUGCCGCGUGAGUGAAGAAGGCCUUUGGGUUGUAAAGCUCUUUCGUCGGGGAAGAAAAUGACUGUACCCGAAUAAGAAGGUCCGG
rnacentral:rRNA from 1 species